UUCAGAUUUGAAAUCUCAAAAUUACAGGAUCGAUGGGUAACUACGCUGUUUCUUGGGGAUUAUAUGACGUCAUCAUUUGUCGCGGGCGAUGGGCCAGAUGACACGUCAGCAGAAUUUGGCCUUGGCGAGAGAGAAAUGGAAACGCCGGACACUUCGGCGAUAUGCGCCGAGGCUCCGCCGUAUCCCCGUCGUCGCUUCGUGUCAACCUCCGAUUUCCGUACAACUGCGCCGUUGAUUUAUGAUGCGUUCUCUCAUCUUGUCUUUGGCUUUUUGAAUUCGGUAGCACCAUUUGAUCAGCGUCGGUGUGGAUUUCUUCUUGUCGUUCUCUCUCUAAAUUUUUUGAAUGAGAUCCUGAUAUUUCUUCUGUCGUAGAAUUAGAACAAUGGAAGAGUCGAUGAUUCAACCAAGAAUCUGUGAGGUCGUGUUAUGUUUCUGUUGCGUCUUCCACUGAAUCUGGCUACUACCUUCCAAGGAACAUUGGAUAAUCAAAGCCCUUAAGGUUACUUGGUGUAAAAGGUUCUGAGAAGUUUGACUCACCUCCCAUCUAGAAGGGUUGAAGACAAGAGGAUCUUCAUAUCUGUCUGGAUUCAAAUGUACAGCUGGAGGACAGACCAUCACUGCCCAGCCGGCUGGAAUGAACUGAAGGAUAAUCCGAGAGAAAUUUGAUGGCUAAAGUUAAAGCCAGUGAAGUUGUUUCAAAGCUGGCAAAAAGCAGGACGAACAUCA